rnacentral:rRNA from 1 species
AUUGAACGCUGGCGGCAUGCCUAACACAUGCAAGUCGAACGGGUAACGCGGGGGCAACCCUGGCGACGAGUGGCGGACGGGUGAGUAAUACUUAGGAAUCUGCCUAAUAGUGGGGGACAACCCGAGGAAACUCGGGCUAAUACCGCAUACGACCUACGGGAGAAAGCGGGGGACCGUAAGGCCUCGCGCUAUUAGAUGAGCCUAAGUCCGAUUAGCUAGUUGGCGGGGUAAUAGCCCACCAAGGCGACGAUCGGUAGCUGGUCUGAGAGGAUGAUCAGCCACACUGGGACUGAGACACGGCCCAGA